rnacentral:tRNA from 1 species
GGGGAUUUAUCUCAGGGGCUAAAGUGCCUGCCUGGCAAGCACGAGGUCAUGAGUUCGAUCCCCGGUAUCCCCU